CUGUCUGUGUAUAUGUUUUUGUGUGGGGAGUAUUGCUGACUGUAGUUGUUGUGUCUCAGUGUGUAUGUUUGUGUGUCUAGGUAUAUGGAUGAAAAAUAUUUUCCUACCUCUGGAUAGUAUUAAUAAAAAUUGAUUUAAAAACAAGUGCUUGUGAAAAUUGGGCAUUCUAAAACUUCCAGAAAAUCUGAUAAAAAAUGUUAAGCAUUAAUGCUAAUUUGGGUUUGGCUGAGGUGGGCAUGUCCUUGUGGUUAUCAGCUGCCUAAGUUUACCUAAGGUCAUUUAAGUGGAUGUUAUCUGCUAAAUCUUUUAAUAAUAAAAUGCUUAAGGCUUAGCUUUGUCUAAUAUUCAGUAGAGGUCUUAUAAGUAAUCUAGCAUAAUUGUUAUGAAUGAGUGAACUAAAUAAGUGUGGCAAGUGAACAAACACCUUUAUAAUUGUGUGUUACAGUAUGUAUACCUAUCUACAACCUAGAAAUCUUUGUGGUAACCUAAAACCUUAAAGGUUUGCUAAGUUAGAAAGACAUACUUUGUGCUUAGUGAGAGAUUGUGUUGUAAAGCUCAUGGUUAACAGAAAUUAUAAAAUGUUCAUAAAUUUUUCAAUCUAAAGAAUGCUAGUGUAACAGUUUAUAAUAGCCUACUUCUCAGUGUUCACUAAAAAUUAAGGUACCUAAUGGUUUUAAGUUCUAAUUAAAACUACUUAAAGUAAUAAGGAAAACAUUUCUGCAUGCUAAAGAAUGUGUCUUUUGAUAAAAGAAAGUAAUUGUUCUAAAGUACAGCUGUUUAUUUAGAGAGAGAAAUCUAAAUGAAAAAGAAGGUUGUAGAAAGUUUGUAGAAUUUAAUAUAGUCAUGCUAUAUAAAAUUAAAGCAAAGAAGUAUCAAUAUCAAGUACACAGCAAAAUUAGUAUUUUGUUUUCAGUUAAAAAGACAAAGUUUUCUUACUGUUAGUCUGCUCUUAAUGUUGAAAUAUUGCAAAAAGUUCUCUAAUUGUUUAAUCAAAGCAGUUUCUCAUACUUAAAGUCUCAGUAAGGUGUCAGAGUAUUUAAGAAAAUGAGAUCUUAAUAUUAAAAAGACUAAAAGUUAAACUUUGCUAACAACUGUGUAACCUUCUUUAUUUGCCUUUGAACUACUUUGUUGUCAUUCUAGUUAAAUGGGUAAGUAUUGCUUCAUAGCAACCUAUAAUCCUAUUUAAGCAAGUGCCAAAGAAACUUUCUUCUGACAACUUCCCAAAAUCAAAUUCAGAAAGGUACUUUUACCUCUAGUUAACUCUGAUAUUUUCCAGAGGGCCCCUGGAGCAUGUCAGAGAAACAUUUUCUCAUUGGAGGGAAUAUUUAGCUAAUUUGGCUUAUUUAUCUGAUAUAUAUUUACCUAAAAAGCAUUGUCAAAAAGAAUGAUGCUAAUUAUGACAACUGUCUUACAGUAAGCUCUCAUCAGAUCUUUAACCAUUGUCAUUUGUAAAUCUUUUGUCAUCUAUACUCACUGUUUAUUAUGCCUAAACUAGUAAGAAACUAGAUUUCAGCAGAACAGGUAUUAGUUACAUAAGAUUAAGUAAACUAAAGAAGAUGAUUUUGUAACUUUUUGUUUCAAAUGUUGAUAAAGUGUUUUAAGCUUUUUCUCUUAAGCUGACAACAGUUUAGUAAAUGACUGCCUUUAUAAGCAGAAUUGAAACUUUAUCUUUCUCUCUACCUGAUCCCUCCAGAAUUUAAAAACUCUCAGUGACCAUUUUUAUAUUUCAUGGCAAUAUGUUUAUUUGCAGAAGUUCAAUAAAAAUCUGCUUUCCUUGUAAGAAGACUAAUUAAAAACACUGGUUAUAUUACCAAAGCUUUGACUAGAACGUCAUACCCGAGAGACAUGUGUGUAAACUCAGAUAUGGACAGACAGCUUUAAGGAACUAAGAUUGACUUUAUAAAGCCAACAAAGCCCCUUAGAAGAACUGGCCUAGUACCUUGCUUACAGAGUUCCCAGCAGCCUUACCAGAAGCCACAAAACUGCUAAUAGUAAUAGAAAUGAAACCCAGAAUAGAAGCGCUAACCUUCUGAGGCCCUCUCAACUGACCAGUGAUGGAGACCUAGCUGCACCCUUUACUGCGCCCCCUCUCAGCACGAAGCAGCCAGAGCGGUCAUCACCCCUUUUCCCUAGCAGCAGCUAGAGUCUCUAUCUGUAGA